rnacentral:rRNA from 1 species
UAGGGAAUCUUCCACAAUGGACGAAAGUCUGAUGGAGCAACGCCGCGUGAGUGAAGAAGGGUUUCGGCUCGUUAAACUCUGUUGUUAUAGAAGUUCAUAUCUGAGAGUAACUGUUCAGGUAUCGUCGGUAUUUAACCAGAAAGCCACGGCUAACUACGUG